rnacentral:rRNA from 1 species
UACGUAGGGUGCGAGCGUUGUCCGGAUUUAUUGGGCGUAAAGAGUUCGUAGGCGGUUUGUCGCGUCGGCCGUGAAAUCUCCACGCUUAACGUGGAGCGUGCGGUCGAUACGGGCAGACUUGAGUUCGGUAGGGGAGACUGGAAUUCCUGGUGUAGCGGUGAAAUGCGCAGAUAUCAGGAGGAACACCGGUGGCGAAGGCGGGUCUCUGGGCCGAUACUGACGCUGAGGAGCGAAAGCGUGGGGAGCGAACAGG